GAUGAACGCUGGCGGCGUGCCUAAUACAUGCAAGUCGAGCGAACAGACGAGGAGCUUGCUCCUCUGACGUUAGCGGCGGACGGGUGAGUAACACGCGGAUAACCUACCUAUAAGACUGGGAUAACUUCGGGAAACCGGAGCUAAUACCGGAUAAUAUAUUGAACCGCAUGGUUCAAUAGUGAAAGACGGUUUUGCUGUCACUUAUAGAUGGAUCCGCGCCGCAUUAGAUAGUUGGUAAGGUAACGGCUUACCAAGGCAACGAUGCGUAGCCGACCUGAGAGGGUGAUCGGCCACACUGGAACUGAGACACGGUCCAGACUCCUACGGGAGGCAGCAGUAGGGAAUCUUCCGCAAUGGGCGAAAGCUUGACGGAGCAACGCCGCGUGAGUGAUGAAGGUCUUCGGAUCGUAAAACUCUGUUAUUAGGGAAGAACAAAUGUGUAAGUAACUAUGCACGUCUUGACGGUACCUAAUCAGAAAGCCACGGCUAACUACGUG
rnacentral:rRNA from 1 species